ensembl:rRNA 5S_rRNA 5S ribosomal RNA
AUCUGUGACCAUGCCACCCUCAAUGUGCCUGAUCUUGUUUGAUCUCAGAAACUAAGCAAGGCCAGGCCUGUUAGUACUUAGAUGGUAUAAGAGAGGCAGGAUUCUUUUUGUUU